UCCUUUUUAAUUCAGCCCAACCCCCAAACCCUAAUCAUUUCUCAUAAGCAGCCGCCCCUGAAACCCAUUCGUUCCCAAAUCCUCUCAACUACUCUUCGAAACCCUAUCCCCUUUUUCACUGGUUUCCACCUUAUCUCGCUGGAAACCAUGGCAUCUCAGGCCCGGGGUGACCUGUACUCACCCCCACGUGCCUUGUACUCCUUUUACUCAAAGUUCCAAGGUCCAACCUUGAAUACCCUAGCUCAGAAUUCCUCUGAUUCAUGUUCUAUGGCCAUCUCUGGCUCAUCUCUGGCGUAUCCUAGCCUUGCGAGAUCAUCUCCGACUCAGACCAGCUCUUUCCAGGCCUUUCUCAUUUUUCUAGAGUUUCACUGAAACCUAAGCCAUGUUUGAUUUUUUCUUGUUCUUCUCUAGAUCUACCUUAAGUUUGAGCUACUUCUAAGUUUUUCAAAUUUAUUCUUACAUAUUUUCCGAUUUUUUCUUUCAAAACGCUUCGUCUUCUCGAACCUAAGGUUUCCUUGAUUGUUUGAAUUUGUUCUACUGUGAUUUCUUACAUUAUUUCGCCUUACUGUUACUCCUAAAUGUUUUCACCAUGAUUUCUGUGUAUUUUCCUUACUGUAUUUUCCUCCUAGGGUUUCUAGUGAUUUUUUUACUGCGUUUGCUUCCAUGAAAUGUAUGUGUUUUUUGGGUCUUCUUGAGUUUAUUUUACCUGAUUUUCUAUAUUUCGUCUUUGCAUGUAAGCUGUGGGGGAAACCCUAAAUUUUGGGGGCUUUCAACCAUUUGUGUACAAUUUUUUUGAUUCUUGUGUUGUUUCCUGUCUGAUUUCAAAAACCCUAAUCUCUAAAUUCGUCUCAUGUUCUCUAAUUCUUGCUAAGCUUUGAAAGACCCUCUGAUUUCUCGCAUAGCUAUGUUCUUCUCUUUUGAUUGCAUGACACUCUAUGUGUUUAAUUUAGUCUCUGCAUGCUUAAGAUUCUUCCUAAGCUUUACAAGACCCUCUGAUUUCUCACAUAUCUAUGUUCUUCUCUUUACCACAGUGUGUUUAAUUUUAGCCUCUGCGUGUUUAAGCUUAUGCAUCCUUUAUAGUCAGAUCUUUUCCUCUCAAAAUAACCCUAAUUUUUUGGGAUUGAUUUUAGACCACCAUUAUGUGACCUAUUUGAAUUUUUACUUGUUUAAUUUGGACCUGUUUUUUGACAUACUGCAGAAUUGAGUUCGAAUCCUUAAUUUCUUAAUUUACUACGUGUUAAUUGAUUUUGAUCUUACCUUAUUUAUCCAAAUUGUGUACUUUUAAAACAUCCCUUAUGUAUUUACCCUUUUACUACACAAUGUGUUCUUGAUUUUCUUUCCUUAAAUAAAAAAUCUACCCUCUCCUAUUCAUAUUUGAACUCCUUAAUUAAAGGAGUUCCCUUCUCCUGAUUGAUUAUGAUUGAUACUAAACUAUUUCUUGCCUUGUUUACCUGCAUGUUUUCAACUAUAAAUACCUCACUCUUUUUCUUUAAAACAAACGAACAAAUAGGUUCACAAAACACACACACACACACUCAAAGCUCUUUACUAUUACUUGUGCUAUUGCUCUGUAUGUUCUGUUGUUUGAAAGUUGCAACUGGUAUGUCUCUUUUAGUUAAACUCUCUCUACAACUAUGUGUUUCAUUCUUUUUUUUUGCAUGUCUCUCACUAUAGGAUCAGAUUUCUCGCGCUAUGCAACUUUGUUUUAGUUUGUUAUGUUCAUUCUUCAUGUUUCUGCAUCUUUAAGUACUGUUACUUGAGGUUUUUCCAUGUGAACCCUUUCCCCCUGACCCCUUUAUGUGUGAUUACUGUUCUAGGUUAGGGUAGCAUCCCAUUGCUUUCCAUGAUCUGGGACCAGGUUUUUUUGGACCCUUUACUCAAAUCAGUACCAUUCCCUUCUCCCCUUCAUGUGUUGAUCCUUGACUAGGGUUUGCAGGUGUCCUAAUCACAACACAGGCCCUUGCCUGACUUCUACAUUCUGCUCUUUAUCUUUUUAAAACCAAAUGGAGGGUCAGGGGUGUGCCAAUCUUACGCAUGGCUGGGUAUGACCACCCUCUGCUUUGGUUCUUCUAAUCCCCUCACUUUACAAUUAUUCUUAGUUUUUUAAGUCUUGCCCCCCUAUGGUAAGUUGUUAGCCCAUUGACAAUGAUCCUCGGCAGGUGUGGGUUGUGAAAAGUAUUUUCAUGAUGGACUUGUUUCACAACCUGAAAAUUGGGGCAACAUCAUGACUGGCAGUUCGGCAUGACGGACUAUGCGGGGCAUGGCAAAGGCACCUUGGAUGGAAGAAGAGAACAUUUUACUUAGACAUGCGGGUUGGCAAUGCAAUUGCACGGCAAAGCCACGUCAAGCAGGGGCAAAUACAUGGCAUGACAAGGCACGACAAGGCGGGACAAUCAAUGGCAAUUGUUGCGGGAAAAUUUGAUCAAGUCAAGGUGCGGCUUGACAGAAACGGACAGCAGUGGCAAUAAACGUGUGCGGAAAAGUUGGCGGGCGGAAAAUUGUGGCAGCGGCAUUGUUGCGGAGCAGUGUCGAAGGCAAGGCUGGGCGCAAUGCCAACCUUGGCACAAAGGGCUGGGCGAAAUUCAGCAAAAGUGUUGCACAAACAAUUUUGGGAAAAACAUGUGCCAAGCACAUGAGGAGCAGUUUGGCGGUUGAAACCUCUCCCUAAACAAACUGAUCAUGGCCUAAAAAGGCUCCCACGUUUUUGUACGUGUCCUACAUGUUUGCCCAUGAGUUGGGGCUUGUCAACUGAUUGUAGCUUAUAAAUAUGUGCCUAUGUAUAGACAAAAACGGGCAGAACUUAGUCUAAGGCAAUUGUGCAAAGCCAAAUUCGUCUAAGUCAUUUCCUAAGGGUAGGAAGUUCAUUUUGGGGCAGGGAAUUGGGCAAUUCUUUGUCUUGGCCAUUGGGUUGGCUUUUGUGUUCCUGUAUUCACAUAAUAAUACGAG
rnacentral:lncRNA from 1 species